GACAGAGGGUGCAAACGUUGUUCGGAAUUACUGGGCGUAAAGCGAGUGUAGGCGGUCUACUCAGUCGGAUGUGAAAGCCCUUGGCUUAACCGAGGAAGUGCAUCCGAAACUGGCGAGCUAGAGUACUAAAGAGGAUCGCGGAAUUCCCGGUGUAGAGGUGAAAUUCGUAGAUAUCGGGAGGAACACCGGUGGCGAAGGCGGCGAUCUGGGUAGAUACUGACGCUGAGGUGCGAAAGCGUGGGGAGCAAACAGG
rnacentral:rRNA from 1 species